rnacentral:rRNA from 1 species
UUCCGGUUGAUCCCGCCGGAGGCCACUGCUAUCGGGCUCCGACUAAGCCAUGCGAGUUAAGGGGCUCUUCGGAGCACCGGCGGACGGCUCAGUAACACGUGGACAACCUAACCUCGGGUGGGGGAUAACCUCGGGAAACUGAGGCUAAUACCCCAUAGGUCUCGGGUACUGGAAGGUCCUAAGGCCGAAAGCUUCGGCGCCCGAGGAUGGGUCUGCGGCCUAUCAGGUAGUUGGUGGUGUAAAGGACCACCAAGCCUGCGACGGGUACGGGCCCUGAGAGGGGAAGCCCGGAGAUGGACUCUGAGACACGAGUCCAGGCCCUACGGGGCGCAGCAGGCGCGAAACCUUCGCAAUGCGCGAAAGCGCGAUGAGGGGAGCCCGAGUGCCCUUCCUUUUGGGAGGGCUUUUCCGGAGUCUAAAAAGCUCUGGGAAUAAGGGCUGGGCAAGACGGGUGCCAGCCGCCGCGGUAAUACCCGCAGCUCGAGUGGUGGCCACUAUUAUUGAGCCUAAAGCGUCCGUAGCCGGACCCGUAAAUCCCUGGGUAAAUCCCGGCGCUCAACGUCGGGAAUUCCGGGGAGACUGUGGGUCUUGGGACCGGGAGAGGCUGGAGGUACUCCCGGGGUAGGGGUAAAAUCCUGUAAUCCUGGGGGGACCACCUGUGGCGAAAGCGUCCAGCUUGAACGGCUCCGACGGUGAGGGACGAAGGCCAGGGGAGCAAACCGGAUUAGAUACCCGGGUAGUCCUGGCUGUAAACGCUGCCCGCUUGGUGUUGUCGGUCUCUCGGGGGCCGGCAGUGCCGGAGCGAAGGUGUUAAGCGGGCCGCUUGGGGAGUACGGCCGCAAGGCUGGAACUUAAAGGAAUUGGCGGGAGAGCACAGCAACGGGAGGAGCGUGCGGUUUAAUUGGAGUCAACGCCGGGA